CUACUGAGGGUGCAAGCGUUAAGCGGAAUUACUGGGCGCAAAGCGCACGUAGGCGGUUUAUUAAGUCAGAUGUGAAAGCCCUGGGCUUAACCUGGGAACUGCAUUUGAGACUGGUAGGCUAGAGUAUGGUAGAGGAUAGUGGAAUUCCGGGUGUAGCGGUGAAAUGCGUAGAUAUCCGGAGGAACAUCAGUGGCGAAGGCGGCUAUCUGGACCAAUACUGACGCUGAGGUGCGAAAGCGUGGGGAGCAAACAGGAUUAGAAACCCUAGUAGUCC
rnacentral:rRNA from 1 species